rnacentral:rRNA from 1 species
AUUGAACGCUGGCGGCAGGCCUAACACAUGCAAGUCGAGCGGAGCGGCGGACGGGUGAGUAAUGCCUAGGAAUCUGCCUGGUAGUGGGGGAUAACGUCCGGAAACGGGAGCUAAUACCGCAUACUAUCAGAUGAGCCUAGGUCGGCUUAGCUAGUUGGUGGGGUAAAGGCCUACCAAGGCGACGAUCCGUACAUGGUCUGAGAGGAUGAUCAGUAACACGGGAACUGAGACACGGUCCAGACUCCUACGGGAGGCAGCAGUGGGGAAUAUUGGACAAUGGGCGAAAGCCUGAUCCAGCCAUGCCGCGUGUGUGAAGAAGGUCUUCGGAUUGUAAAGCACUUUAAGUUGGGAGGCGUUACCGACAGAAUAAGCACCGGCUAACUCUGUGCCAGCAGCCGCGGUAAUUC